GAUGAACGCUAGCGAUAGGCCUAACACAUGCAAGUCGAGGGGCAUCACAAAGAGUAGCGAUACUUUUGGUGGCGACCGGCGGAUGGGUGAGUAACACGUAUGCAACCUACCUUCUACAUUGGGAUAACCCGUUGAAAGACGGACUAAUACCGAAUAAUACAGGGGCGCCACAUGGUGAUAUUUGUUAAAGUUUCGAGCAAUCGAUUCGGUAGAAGAUGGGCAUGCGUAUGAUUAGCUAGUUGGUGAGGUAACGGCUCACCAAGGCAACGAUCGUUAGGGGUUCUGAGAGGAAGGUCCCCCACACUGGUAAUGAGACACGGACCAGACUCCUACGGGAGGCAGCAGUGAGGAAUAUUGGUCAAUGGGCGCGAGCCUGAACCAGCCAAGUCGCGUGAAGGAAGACUGUCCUAUGGAUUGUAAACUUCUUUUGUACAGGAAUAAAGUGUUCUACGUGUAGGAUUUUGCAUGUACUGUACGAAUAAGGAUCGGCUAACUCCGUGCCAGCCGCCGCCGUAAAAC
rnacentral:rRNA from 1 species